GCUGGCUAUUGGCCCGGUGAAUGGGCGUGACUAUGCAAACCGAGCGCGCGUUGGACGCUGGGUUGGGCUAGUGGGGCUUCCCUUAAGUGCCUGGGAGUCAGAAAUUAUCUCACAGUGCCCGGGAGUGAUAUGUUUUAACUGGUCCUCUGCUCAAGGUCUCAUGAAGCUGCAAUGGAGGUGUUGGCUGGACUACAUCCUCAUCCCGAGGCUCAACUGGAGAAGGAUCCAUAUCCAAGCUUCUUGAGCCUGUUGGCAGAACUCAUUUCCUGGUGGUUGUAGGACUAUAGUCCCCAUUUCCUUUCUGUCAGCUGGGGGCCACUCUCAGGUGCUAGCCACAUGGCCUCCUCCAUCUCAGUAAGAGAAAGCCUCCCUCUAUUGAGAGGGAGAAUUCUGAGUGUUGAAUGCUGAACCCCUCUCAUGGUUCAAAUCCCUCUGAUUUCCUCGUCUGCAACCAGUGAGUCAGGCCCACUCAGAUUAUCCCCAUGUCUUAAAGUCAGUUGGCCCAAUAACAUAAUCACAGGAAUGAGAUCUGUCCCACUUCUAGUCCUGGGAUGAUAUAGAAUAAGAAAUCUCGGGAACACCUUAAAAUUUCUGCAGCCCAUAGCCCUAGGAGCCACAUCUCUGCACACCUGUCCCACAGCCUCCUACAAACUCAGUUGUUCAGUCAGCAAAUGAGCCUCAGGGAUUCUGAAACAUACUACUUUGCAGCAGACAGAAUGCAAGGACUCAUUAGGGCACUCACUUUGGAGAGAGCCCCUCUACGUGGUGGGGCAGCCAGCAUGCAGCCUCAGGGUCCAAUGCCUGCUUCACUGCCCCCUCAGCUGGGCAUCUCAGAGCCAGCAAGUCUAGCUUGUAGGCCCUCAGGCCUCAUCUGUGCAUCGGGGAGGCUAACAGUCCUUCUUGGGACAGGGAGUAAAGACAUCUGUUGUUGGGGAUCCCCAAGACUACGCUCAGGUUUGAUGAUUGACUAGAAGGAUCCACAGAACUCAGAAAAGCUGUUCUGUUCAUGGCUAUGGUUGAUCACAGUGAAAGGACAGUCUAAAGUCCUCAAAGGAGAAGAAUGCGUGAGGCAGAGCCCUGGAGAAACCAGGCACAAGCGUCCAGGUGCAGACCUGUCACAACCUUUGCGACAACACACACACACACAGUACUGCCAACCAGGGAAGCUCACCCGAGCCUCAUUAUCCAGAGUUUACUGGGGAGGAAGGCUGACCACCCAUGUGCUUGACCUCAGUCUCCAGCCCCUCCAUAGGUCAAGUUGAUACCAUUUGGCUAAAAGCCCCACCCUAAAGUAUAUUAUUAGCAUAGACUCUCUGGUGUGGCCCAAGGUCUUAAAUAAACAGACACUUUUAUCGGUCA